CAGCAGCCGCGGGAAUACGUAGGGUGCGAGCGUUAAUCGGAAUUACUGGGCGUAAAGCGUGCGCAGGCGGUUGUGUAAGACAGGUGUGAAAUCCCCGGGCUUAACCUGGGAACUGCGCUUGUGACUGCACAGCUAGAGUAUGGCAGAGGGGGGUGGAAUUCCACGUGUAGCGGUGAAAUGCGUAGAGAUGUGGAGGAAUACCGAUGGCGAAGGCAGCCCCCUGGGCCAAUACUGACGCUCAUGCACGAAAGCGUGGGGAGCAAAUGGGAUUAGAUACCCCCGGUAGUCCCUGUCUCUUAUU
rnacentral:rRNA from 1 species